rnacentral:lncRNA from 1 species
ACUGCUGCCCUUCGCCGCCGCCCCCGGCAGUGCUCGCUCUCUCUAGGCCCCAUGUAAAUCGCUGUGUUUGCUGGGGAGCCCUUAGUUCAAUUCUCAGGGGAUUAGGGCCAUUGAGAUUCUUAAUCAAUUGCUGGGUUCCACGCGAUCCUCUUUAGAAACUUUUUGCUUAAUAUGCAUCUAGAGACAUGCACGGCCCGCCUGCAGCGCUGGAGCCGAUGGAGUGGAGCCUGGGAGGCUGCAGGCGACCCCCAGGCUUCUAAACAGCAACGUCAGUUUAAUUAUUGCAGAUCCGUCACAGCUGCCAAGUCCUCUCUGUCUUCGUUGUUGUUAACGGGGAAACUUGCCGCCCGGUGGCUUUGCUUCAGGCGGAAGUCCGCGUGCUUUGAUACCCUCAGGGGGCACUUACAGGCUAGGUGGACACAGGGCUAGGGGUAAGAAUGCAGCAGUGAACAUGGUUCCUGCACUCAUGAAGCAAAUGUAUCCACUGUGGUACAAAAGAGACUGUAAAAAACAAACCCAAAUGGACAACAGGAAAAGACAGAAGCUGAUUGAGGUCCCAGCUUGGUAACAGUUUGAAGAGUUGCAGGACUGGCUGGAUGAGUACUGGCUGCAGCAAAUCAGGCUGCCAGGAUUCUUUAUGGCUGUUUCUGCUUCCACUACAGCUGAGUCAGAAAGGUCGCUGCCCCGUGGUGGCACUAGACGCAGUGGACCUGGCAAGCAAAUGUUUCCGCUAUUAGCUCUCAGCAACAGAGACUCAUUUAUGGUCACCUUGGAAAUCUGGGCUUAUCGAUCUACAGCCCAAGUCUGCUGAGAAGCUGGAGCUUACUAAAGGGGAAACCUGAGAGCUGUUCAAGCCCCAAAUAUUUUCCACUUCUGCGUCACCUCUGCUGUCUGUUAGCAGAGUGGAGGAGAAAAUACACAGCACAAACAACGUGAAAAAAUAGUUACUCUAUUCAUUAAAAGCUGUAACUUCCAGAUUGGACUUGAGAAGCAAUUAAGCAACAGAGGAACCUCAUCUACUAUCUGUAUUCAGGCAUGCUCAUGAGAACACGCUGCUCCAGCUGGACUUAGAGGAACCCGGUGCAUCACAGGCAUUCCUGACAGAGUCUCGUGGUCCUGCUGGUCCACUCAGUGGUACUCAGUCCUCCUCAUUCUCGGGGAUAGGUUCCAAGACCCCCAGGGGA